CGGAUGUGCAUAGUUUAACUAAAACCCUAAGCUGUGGACUUAGAAAUACAGAGCCA
rnacentral:tRNA from 1 species